CCAAAUCCCCCCAUCCCCCCUUCCUCGCGCCGUGCCCUUUCUGUUCGCCUCGCCGAGCGGCUCCUUUGCCGCCUCGCCGUCGAUCCCGUGGCCACCGGCCACCGUUCGCCGCACCGACUACUCUAGGAGGGCCGCCACCGUCUACUUCGUCCAUCCAGAGCAUCAAAUCGAGCGGAGCCGUCCCGUGCGCUCGCCAUCGAGCUCCUAUUCACCGCGUACAUCGCUGGCCGCCGUCGUCGAUUGCCUCGUCUCCGGUCCACCUCCAGCCUCCUCAUCGCUUUCGUUGGAACCAUCGUGAGCUCCUCUUCCAAAACCCCCUCUCCUCCUCUCGAUUUCGUCGCCGUAGCCGUCGUCCCCAAGUUUGUGGCCGCCAUGGCCGGAGCUCGAACUCCCGUGCGUGCCCGCGUUCUUGCUCCCCCGUGCCUGCGCCCCGCCCUGGCCUCGUCUCCGCGUGCCGCGGCGCGCCCGCAGCCACCUUGCCCGUGCUCGGCCGCAACCCCUGCUGCUCGCUGCUGCUCCGCGCGGCUGGCCGUGCCGUUCUGCCUACUGUACUGCUUGCUGUGUUGCUACUGCUCCUUGUUGCUUACCAUAGCUGCUGCAGCUAGAAUGCUGCUGUUGCUUACUACGCUGCUGCCAUAGCCGCUGUAGCUAGCGAUUAAGCCGUGCAAGGCCAUGGCCUGUGCCUUUGUGCAUGGCCGGCUAGCCCUAUGGAUGAGGCCGGCCACUUAGUUUAGUUUAGUUUGGCUAAUUAGUGAUUAGGUAUAACUAGUAGUCUAUGGUAUGUGGGACCUCCCUUGAUUAAAUUAGUUAGAUGUUUUAUUAACGCAUGUGGCAAUGACAUGUGGGCCACACAUCCCGUUGACCAGUCAUUUUUGACUCGAUCAACCCAACCCAUUGUCCCACCUGUAACACACACUAGUUAGCACAGCCCCAUAUGGCAGAAAUAUUUAGGUAUUAAUUUUCGAACUGAUUUAACUCACAAAAUCUUGUAGACUUUGAGAAAUUCAUAUAAAAUAAACCGUAACUCCGAUGAAAAUGUUUUCUACAUGAAAGUUGCUCAGAAAAAUCCAACGAAUCCGAAUACAGCCUCAGUUCGUCUAUGACACGUCCCUAGCAUAGCAAACGUUGAACUUUUCCCCUCUGGUUCAUCUGUCUGACAGACGUCCGGAACCGGGAAAUUUUCCCGGAUGUUAUCCUCCUUCGCCAGUAUCGCCUAGCGCUGCGUUAGAACAUCUCUAGCACCGCUUAUUGUCUUGUUAUGCUUAUGUUUGCGUGUAUUUACUGUUUCUUCCCCCUCUUCUUCUCCGGUAGACCUCGAGACCGCUGCUGAUGCCCCUGUGAUCGACUACGUCGACGACGAACCCUCCUUGCCAGAGUAACCAGGCAAGCCCCCCCUUUGAUCAUCCCGAUAUCGCCCAUUCCAUUCUCUCAUGCUUGCAUUAGAUUUUGCUACUGUUAUUGUUUGCUCCUAUUUUGCUGCAUAGCCUGUUUAUUAUAACCUGCUAUUGUUACCUACAUGCUUAUCCUAAACUGCUUAGUAUAGGUUGGUUAGAGACCCAUCAGUGACCCCCCACUUGACCCGACUGCCCCGCUGGAUUAUCAGAAGACUCGAUCAACGAGAUCGAAGACCAGGCCCCGACACCUCACGUCACAUCACGCCCCUUUGUUGCUCAACUCUGUAGAGUUACUAUCGAGUGCCGAGGGUGGAAUCUCAUACAUCACUCCUGAUGAGAUCUCUAUAGAGUAGCUAUUCGGUCGUGGUCAUCGAGGGUGAUUUCCUCCUUAACCACUUCCGAUACGGCUCUGUCGUGCAACCCCUCAAGUGUGAACCUCGAGGGUGGAUCCUCUUACGUUCACCUUAAUGAUUACAUCGAGUGGAAUUCACCGGGGGUGAUUCCUCGGGUUUUCCCCUUGAUGUUUGGACACACGGAUACUUGGACUUUACCCCUGUUACUUGGAAAGACGGGUCGACCCUGAGGGGUACCCGCGCGAGCUUGAUUGCGAGUGAUGUGGAGUCGGGUUGACCUGGAAGGUGCCCGCGAGAUAAUUACGAGGCGUGGCCGGGCAUUCCUAGCCCUUGCCGCAAGUCCUCGAGACGGGGCAACGGGGUCACAUCUUUCGUGAGUCUCUGCUUGUUACCGCGCAUUCCUAAUCCACUACGAUUUGGAUAUUUGAUCCGAGGGGCCUCUGGCCUGAUAGCACUAACCAUCACGUGGGCAUAGUAUGGGCGUUCUGCGUCGUAUACAUCAGCCGAAGCUUAUUAGACGUCAGCGACUGAGCGGCGCGCGCCGGGUUGGACUGGUAAGCUCCUGCCUUUUUAGGGAGGUAGCUAGGUCUGCUCACCGUCCGCCCUCGCAACGUGCAGGAGUUCCCGGGGAGAUGGCCCAUGACCCCUGGGGGCAUAGGUUUAGUCCGGCGUGCUGGCCUCUCUAUUAAGCCUAGGUCGGGUUGCAGCGUAUUGUUUGGCCGAGGCCGGGCAUGACCCAGGAAAGUGUGUCCGGCCGGAGUUAAUCGAGCGUGGUGGGUAAGUUGGUGCACCCCUGCAGGGAAGAAAACAUCUAUCGAUAGCCUGUCCUACGGUAACGGACACUUGGAGUUGUAUCCCGAUCGAUACAACUAGAACUGAAUACUUGUGAUGAGAACUGGAUGAUGACGAGAACUGGAUUGUGAUGAUAACUGGAUAGUAUGGCUCUGGGAUUGCUUUCUCGCAGGGAGUCGAGAAAGGAUCUCUGGCCGAGGUUGAUAACACUUCUACUGCCUUACUUUAUGCUUCUCUACUCACUCCUGUUGCUGCAAGAUGGUGGUUUCCAGAAGAUGCUAGUCUUUGAUAGACUAGGCUUUUCCCUUCCCUUCUGGCAUUCUGCAGUUUAGUCCACAGAUACAACCCAUUCCUUUGAUACAGAUACAUACUAAGUUUAGAUCUGAUGUAAGUCUUGCGAGUACUUUGGAUGAGUACUCACGGUUGCUUUGCUACUUCUUUUCCCCCAUACCCGAUUGUUGCGACCAGAUGACGGAUCCCAGGAGCCAGACGACGCCACUGAUGACUACUACUACACGGAGGAUGCCUACUACUACGUGAAGACCGUAGACGAAUAGGAGUAGUUAGGAGGCUCCCAGGCAGGAGGCCUUGCCUUUUCGAUCGGUUGUUGCUUUUGUGCUAGCCUUCUUAAGGCAAUCUUGUUUAACUCAUGUCUGUACUCAGAUAUUGUUGCUUUCGCUGACUCUUGUGUUUACGAGCUUAUGUAUUCGAGCCCUCGAGGCCCCUGGCUUGUAAUAUAAAGCUUGUAUCAUUUUAAUUUGUGUCUAUAGUUGUGUUGUGAUAUCUUCCCGUGAGUCCUUGAUCUUGAUCGUACACAUUUGUGUGUAUGAU
rnacentral:lncRNA from 1 species